GACUUUUCGUUUCGAAAACAAGUGAUCUUGAAAAUCAUUAAAAAACGUUUAACUCGUUUAAAAGUUC
rnacentral:tRNA from 1 species